UCAAAUCGAAAUUUAAUUUAGUACUUAAAAAAUUUAUUAAAGAUCUUAUUUGUGCUUCUGAAAAUAAAAAAAAAAAAUUGUUUUCAAACAUAAAGAAACAAUAAUUUAAGAAAUGUCCUUUCGAUACACAAAAACAAUGCAUUAAACUCAAAUGGACUUCUGUCAAGAAGCUCUGUUUCUCCUGCUUCAAACUGGAAACUUCUAAAAACCAAAAUCCUCAUCGCAUCAGAAUUUCAACAAAAUUUGAAAGCUUACACCCGGAAUCGAAUUUUGAAUUAGAAGAAACUAGAUUUAUUGCAUUAUUUGAACAUUAAUUAGAUGGAUUUAAAAAACAAAACACAGAAGAAGCAAGCAAAAACAUAAACCUACAAAACACCUUUUGUGCGUGCAAGAAGUUACCUACUUAUGGUAUUUCCAGAAGUAUGUUUACACGAAGUGGAUAUGGUUGCUUACCUUUUGCAGUACUAUUCAGCAAAAAAAAAAUACUACUAAACAUUUAUUGAAGAAGAGGGUACUUCAGGGUGUACAAAUAGUAGAUACAAUGUAAGAGAUAUCAUAACCAACAAUAUAAUAUGCGCUACAAGUGUGAAUAGUAAACAUGAAGGAGCACCUCUUGUACCUACCUUACCUACCUGCCCGGCACAACAACAACUGGCGCCUUACCUACAUUCAUUUCAUACCUCUUCGUUCAAUGUGCGAUUUUAUCACUAAUGAUUAUGAGAUGUUACCCACAAUCCAAUGUGCGUCCAUCCUCGAAGAAAUGAAUAUACACACUAUUAAAACAGAUUAUAAGAGGCGAUUACGAAUCAUCUUGUGUGUCAAGGUUGUUAAGCGCAUAAGUGCAAAUAAAUAUUUUUCAAAAUUGAUAUUUAGUCUGAUGAUUUGUUUAUAAAUUAACCAGUUGGAAUAUUGAUGUUUUGAGAAUUUAUCAAGCUUUGUUUGAAUUAAGAUUAAAAUCACAUAAAAGUAAUCAAAGUUUAUGAUAAUGAUCUUAUAAUGUAAAUAAAAAUUAAAUUAAGUUGUUUAGACAAAAUGUUCAAAAAUCCUUUUGACUGAUUCACAGUACACAAUGAGUCGCUUUAUUCGGUUAAUUUUCAGUAACAUUAUCAUAUUGAUCUGGCCCUAACGAAAAAUUUUGAAUAAAAAUGCUAAUUUUAAAUCUAUUUUUAAUUACUCCUUAGAAUUUUUAAUAUCUGUCUAACAUUACCUAUUGUAUAUUAUGAAUAGAAAUAGAUGCCAUUUUGCAUGGGUACAAUUUUUUGUAUAACAGUAUAACAGAUGAAUCAUAGACUUUGAUGCAAAAUAUUUCCUCGGAAAUUAUGUUUUAUAACAGCCCAAUAGUAUAACAGUAUAAAUUGUUUAAAAGUUUCGUGUACUGAACUCUCAAUCGUAACAUCAUCACACA